UGCAGUCGUACGGUGACGACCAGCUUGCUGGUCUGAUCAGUGGCGAACGGGUGAGUAACACGUGAGCAACCUGCCCUUCACUCUGGGAUAAGCCUUGGAAACGAGGUCUAAUACCGGAUACGACACUCCCGUGCAUGCGGAGGGUGUGGAAAGUUUUUCGGUGAGGGAUGGGCUCGCGGCCUAUCAGCUUGUUGGUGGGGUAAUGGCCUACCAAGGCGACGACGGGUAGCCGGCCUGAGAGGGCGACCGGCCACACUGGGACUGAGACACGGCCCAGACUCCUACGGGAGGCAGCAGUGGGGAAUAUUGCACAAUGGGCGAAAGCCUGAUGCAGCGACGCCGCGUGAGGGAUGACGGCCUUCGGGUUGUAAACCUCUUUCAGCAGGGAAGAAGCGAAAGUGACGGUACCUGCAGAAGAAGCGCCGGCUAACUACGUGCCAGCAGCCGCGGUAAUACGUAGGGCGCAAGCGUUGUCCGGAAUUAUUGGGCGUAAAGAGCUCGUAGGCGGUUUGUCGCGUCUGCUGUGAAAACCUGAGGCUCAACCUCGGGCUUGCAGUGGGUACGGGCAGACUAGAGUGCGGUAGGGGUGACUGGAAUUCCUGGUGUAGCGGUGGAAUGCGCAGAUAUCAGGAGGAACACCGAUGGCGAAGGCAGGUCACUGGGCCGCAACUGACGCUGAGGAGCGAAAGCAUGGGGAGCGAACAGGAUUAGAUACCCUGGUAGUCCAUGCCGUAAACGUUGGGCACUAGGUGUGGGGCUCAUUCCACGAGUUCCGUGCCGCAGCAAACGCAUUAAGUGCCCGCCUGGGGAGUACGGCCGCAAGGCUAAAACUCAAAGAAAUUGACGGGGGCCCGCACAAGCGGCGGAGCAUGCGGAUUAAUUCGAUGCAACG
rnacentral:rRNA from 1 species